UACGUAGGGUGCAAGCGUUAUCCGGAAUUAUUGGGCGUAAAGAGCUCGUAGGCGGUUUGUCGCGUCUGCUGUGAAAACUGGGGGCUCAACCCCCAGCCUGCAGUGGGUACGGGCAGACUAGAGUGCGGUAGGGGAGAUUGGAAUUCCUGGUGUAGCGGUGAAAUGCGCAGAUAUCAGGAGGAACACCGGUGGCGAAGGCGGGUCUCUGGGCCGUAACUGACGCUGAGGAGCGAAAGCAUGGGGAGCGAACAGG
rnacentral:rRNA from 1 species